AAUCAACGCUGGCGGCGUGCCUCAGACAUGCAAGUCGAACGCGAAAGUUUCCUUCGGGGAGCAAGUAGAGUGGCGCACGGGUGAGUAACACGUAGGUAAUCUACCUUUGGAUGGGGAAUAACAACCGGAAACGGUUGCUAAUACCGCAUAAUGCAGCGGCACCUAAUGGUGACAGUUGUUAAAGCGGGGGGAUCGAAAGACCUCGCGUCUGAAGAGGAGCCUGCGGCGGAUUAGCAGUUGGUGAGGUAACGGCUCACCAAGGCUUUGAUGGUUAGCUGGUCUGAGAGGAUGACCAGCCACACUGGGACUGAGACACGGCCCAGACUCCUACGGGA
rnacentral:rRNA from 1 species